AUGACGUCAAAUCAUCAUGCCCCUUAUGUACCUGGGCUACACACGUGCUACAAUGGCCGGUACAGACGGACGCAAAGCCGCGAGGUGGAGCAAAUCCUAAAAAGCCGGUCUCAGUUCGGAUUGCAGGCUGCAAUUCGCCUGCAUGAAGUCGGAAUCGCUAGUAAUCGCAGGUCAGCAUACUGCGGUGAAUACGUUCCCGGGCCUU
rnacentral:rRNA from 1 species